AACGCGUUGGUGAUCUGCCUUGAAGUGUGGAAUAACGUUCCGAAAGGAUCGCUAAUACCGCAUGUGCUCUCGACUUUCAGAAAGUUGAGAGUAAAGGAUUUAUUCGCUUCAAGAGGAGCCUGCGUCCCAUCAGCUGGUUGGUAGGGUAACGGCCUACCAAGGCUAUGACGGGUAGGGGACCUGAGAGGGUGGCCCCCCACAAUGGAACUGAAACACGGUCCAUACACCUACGGGUGGCAGCAGUAGGGAAUAUUAGAAAUGGACGAAAGUCUGAUCUAGCAACACCGCGUGUGCGAAGAAGGCCUUCGGGUCGUAAAGCACUUUUUGGAAGGAAUAGGAAGGAAUGUACUUCCAGAAUAAGUCUCGGCUAACUACGUGCCAGCAGCCGCGGUAACACGUAGGAGGCGAACGUUAUCCGGAUUUACUGGGCGUAAAGCGCGUGUAGGUGGUACUGUAAGUAGGGCGUGAAAGCUCCUGGCUCAACUGGGAGAGGCCGUUCUAAACUACAGAACUAGAGGAUGGUAGAGGGAGGUGGAAUUCCAGGUGUAGCGGUGGAAUGCGCAGAUAUCUGGAGGAACACCGGUGGCGAAGGCGGCCUCCUGGACCAUUCCUGACACUCAGACGCGAAAGCUAGGGUAGCAAACGGGAUUAGAGACCCCGGUAGUCCCAGCCCUAAACGAUGUAGACUAGGCGUCGGAAGUUUAAUCACUUUCGGUGUCCAAGCUAACGCGAUAAGUCUACCGCCUGGGGACUACGGCCGCAAGGUUAAAACUCAAAGGAAUUGACGGGUCCCCGCACAAGCAGCGGAGCGUGUGGUUUAAUUCGUUGCUACACGAAGAACCUUACC
rnacentral:rRNA from 1 species